CCCGUCCCCUUCUCCUCCUCCUCCUCUCCGACGCGCCUUACCACCACGCGUAGCCGCCGCUCGCCAUCCCCGUCCCCUUCUCUUCCUCUCCACCAUAUCCAGAACAUCUCCAUCUCCACACCAAAUCUGGAUCCGUGAGAAAGAUUCAAUUUUUUCGACAUUUUUCACGGAUCCGGUGGCGAUGAUGCGAGAUCAGGUGGCGGGGGUGCUCGAGAUCUACGGCCUCAUCAUCGCCGUCAUCAUCUCCACCGUGAUCAACCCCAAGGCCAAGCCAUACUUCCUCUUUGACGGAUACGCGGACCUCUCCUCCGGCCUCCUGUGUGGGCUCGCGGGGCUCGCCGCCGGCAUGGCCAUCGGGAUCGUCGGGGACGCAGGGGUCAGAUCGGCGAGGCGAACCGCCGAAAGCUCCUCGGAUCGACCGAUCCGAUCUCAGGUUCGCCGCCAGUCCCGCCGGAGGAGGCCAUGGAGACGCCGCCGCCAUUCCAGGAGUCCGCCAACUGCGACGUCUGCGGCUGCACCUUCUCCACCUUGCAGCGGCGGGAACACCGUGCCUCUGAUUUUCUGACGAAUUUUACUCUGUUGCAGCACCACUGCAGCUGCUGCGGGAGGACGCUCUGCCACGAGCACUCUUCGUACCACAUGGCCCUGCCUCAGUACGGGAUAUACACGGACGCCAGGGUCUGCUAUGAGUGCUUCAACAAAUCCUCCUCCAGAUGGCUGCCCAACACCUCCUGCAUCAUUGACUACAUGGCCAGUACCUUCUUCGAGUACUUCCACUUCAACCAUGAUGGAACUGCAUGACAAGAAGAACAGAUAAGUACUCCCUCCAUUCCGGAAUAUGCUUGUGCAAAUCUGAUGAUGAUGCUUGUGCUUAUGCAAAUAUGAUGAUGAUGCUUGUGCUUUUGCAAAUCUUAGUUUCUUGUGCUGAAAUUGUUAUACUCCAUGAAAGUAAAUUUGCUUUAUUGCUGCGAUUUGUUGAAUCUAUGGUUUCGCUGCGGGCUUCAAUUGUUUUCAAUUGAGACCCACCACUGUAUGUAAAGAUUAUGAAUAAUGUUAAAGGCAGAAAGUUUCAUAUAGAGAAACAAUCAUAGACAAAAUGCAAGUUUUCUAUUGUAAACGGUAGUCCUUAUUUCAGUUUGUCUAUUGUAGAGACAUGCUCGAUCGAAGAAACUACUUGGAAAUGGGAGGCUUAAGAUGAUGCUCAACAGUGAUGGUGAGCUGGAGGAAGAGGCAGAAACACAUGCUGAACGACAUGCUCGGACUAUAGCUCUUGCUCAGCAAGUACAAAAGCCAAAGAAGGAUUCAGGCAGGCAGCGACAACUCCAGAGGAGGCAUAAGAAGGUCUCGGAAUCAGCUUGAGAAGAAGCAACAGCCUCUCUGGUAAGGAAAGGUGCUGCGAAGCCGGAAAAGUCUGAUAAGAAAGAUGUGAAACCGGAAAAAUCUGACAAGAAAGGCACAAGACGGGAAAAGGAUAAGUCUAAUAAGAAGAGGCGCAAGAUUGAAAAAUGAAGUUGUUUGUUUUCCUGAACUGUUGUAAUUUUUCUGGUUAGCUAUAUCUUCCAGGCAUGUUGUUCUGGGAUCAUAGCAGGUUUGCUUCAUUAUAUUGCUCACUUGUGCAUACGAUGCAAUGCUCAUGAUUAUGCUCUCAUCUUUGCAAUGAUCAGAAUAUAACCUUGACGAGCUGCCACUGCAGGAUGAAGAUGAGCUGCCGCUGCCGGAUGAAGAAGAGCUGCCACUGCCGGAUGAAGACGAGCUGCCGCUGCCAGAUGAAGACGAGUUGCCGCUGCCGGAUGAAGGAGUGUGGCGAGCAGCGUGGCGAACUGCAGGCUGGCGAGCUUGAAUAAGGGGAGGCGGGCGGCGGAGCCAAUUUGAGGCAAGCGGUUCUCCAGGAGGGUGUCGACGAGGAGGAGGCGGAGGCGGGUGGCGGAGCUGUCGCUCCGGCAGCUGUCGAGCAUGAGGGGCCCGAGGAGAAGCAGGUGGAGGAGGCUGUCGAGCAGGAGGGGGCCGAGGAGAAGCAGGCGGAGGUGGGUGACGGUGCUGCCGCUCCAGCAGCUGUCUAGCAGGAGGUGGGCGAGGAGAACCAGGUGGAGGCGCGUGGUGGAGCUGCCGCUCUAGCAGCUGUCGAGCAGGAAGUGGGCGAGGAGAACCAGGCGGAGGCGCGUGGUGGAGCUGCCGCUCCAGCAGCUGUCGAGCAGGAAGUGGGCGAGGAGAACCAGGCGGAGGUGCCUGGUGGAGCUGCCGCUCCAGCAGUUGUCGAGCGAGAGCUGGGCGAGGAGAACCAGGCACAUGUGCGUGGUGGAGCUGCCGCUCCAGCAGGGUGGAGAGCAUGGCGCUGCACCGGAGGCUGACGAUCGAUCGAUCGAUUCCAGCUCUGGAUUCCAGGCGGAGGUGCCUGGUGGAGCUUCCACUCCAGCAGCUGGACGUUCGAUUCCAGCUCCGGUGGCGCGUGG